rnacentral:ribozyme from 1 species
AAAUGCUGAAGGAAAUAGACUGGCCAUUUUUACCAGAAACAAACCAGGAUAUGCCGGAAGCUACGCUGGAAGUGUGGCAAUAUUCGAGUACACCGCGAGCACAGAUUCGUGGGAUAAAAUAGCAGAAAAAUUCGGCGGAACUCAGGAUCAUAUUAGCUCUAU